rnacentral:rRNA from 1 species
UACGUAGGGGGCAAGCGUUGUCCGGAAUCAUUGGGCGUAAAGCGCGCGUAGGCGGCCCGGUAAGUCCGCUGUAAAAGUCCAGGGCUCAACCCUGGAAAGCCGGCCGAUACUGUCGGACUAGAGUCCGGAAGAGGCAAGUGGAAUUCCCGGUGUAGCGGUGAAAUGCGUAGAUAUCUGGAGGAAUACCGGUGGCGAAGGCGGCAUCCUGGACCGACAUUGACGCUGAGGAGCGAAAGCUAGGGGAGCAAACGGG